UUUGCCGGUCGCUUGCCGGUCGCUUCCCGGUCGCCUCCGCUGCCGCCGUUCCCCCCUCACGGCCCCCCCGGGCCGGCCGCUCCACGAGCGGGGCGCGCGGCGGCGGCUGCGCGCGAGCGCGGGCGGUUGCCCUGGUGACGGCGCGGGGCGCGCUCGGGCCCGCCACCGUCACCGCCGUGGGGCCGCGGUGUCUUCAACCCGCCCUCAGCAGAGGAGCGUCCUCCGGCCAUGGAGAAGUACCAGGUGCUGGGCCUGGUCGGGGAAGGCAGCUACGGGGUGGUGACCAAGUGCCGGAACAAGGAGACCGGGCAGAUCGUGGCCGUGAAGAAGUUCCUGGAGAGCGAGGAGGACGCGGCGGUGAGGAAGAUCGCGGUGAGGGAGGUCAAGCUGCUCAAGCAACUGAGGCACGAAAAUCUCGUGAACCUGCUGGAAGUGUGUAAGAAGAAGAAACGGUGGUAUCUGGUGUUUGAAUUUGUGGAUCACACGGUGCUGGACGACCUCGAGGCGUUCCCAAACGGCCUGGACUACAGCAGGGUUCGGAAAUACUUAUUCCAGAUUAUAAGAGGAAUAGCGUUUUGUCACAGUCAUAACAUAAUCCAUCGCGAUAUUAAGCCAGAGAACAUACUCGUCUCCCAGUCGGGAGUCGUAAAACUCUGUGACUUUGGCUUUGCCCGCACGUUAGCAGCUUCUGGGGAGGCUUACACUGACUACGUGGCCACCCGCUGGUACAGAGCUCCGGAGCUGCUGGUGGGAGACAUCAAAUACGGCAAGGCUGUAGACGUGUGGGCUAUUGGCUCUCUGAUCACAGAAAUGCUCACGGGAGAGCCUCUGUUCCCUGGAGAUUCAGACAUCGACCAGCUCUACCACAUCACCAAGUGCCUGGGUAACUUAAUUCCGAGACACCAAGAGUUAUUCUAUAAAAAUCCCCUCUUUGCUGGCAUGAGGUUGCCUGAAGUGAAGGAGGCCGAGUCGCUGGACAAACGCUAUCCCAAGCUCCCUGCUGCCGUGCGAGAUUUAGCCAAGAACUGUUUGCAGAUUGAUCCUGACAAAAGGCCGUCCUGUGCUGAACUCUUGCAGUGCGAUUUCUUUCACAAGGAUGGAUUUGCUGAAAGAUUUGCACAGGAGCUUAAAUUAAAGAUUCAGAAGGAUGCCAGAGACCAUCAAUUACAAAAAAAGUCAAAAAUCAGCAAAAGGGACAAAGAUGAUGCCCUAGAAGAAAGAAAAGUGCUUGAUGUCCAGGAUUUCAGCAUUGACCCAAAGAGCAGAGACGCUAAGCUGUUCAAAGCAAAACACUCUAAAGCUGACGCAGAAAAAGCGGAUCGAUCCUCCAACCUGAGCUCCUUCUAUGACAGUCCAAUCAACCCCUUUAAAAUCAGCCCUCAAACCAGCCUAAAAGAUUCCAGCGGCAGCUUGGACUACGCCAAGAACACCGGAGUAGUUAUUCCUCCCAUCAACCAGAAUCUCUCUCCCACUAUGGCUGGGAUGGGAAACCAUAAUUACAGAAUUGAUGAAAAGAGUAAAAAAUACUUGAACCCGUUUCUAAAGCAACGGCAGCGUUCUCCAGCAGGCCGUUACAGCGUCAGCCUCACACCGGUUACUAAUGAAAAAAACAUCCUUCAAGCAAAUAGGAAAAAAUGGGAAUUCUCCAAGACAGAUGUGCGUUUGCCGGAACUGAAUCAUCUCCCUGAGCUGAGAGGAGCGGAAGCGUGGCACCCCAGAUUUCCCAAAAAGGAAAGUAAACUGGGUUCAGAGUCCCGUGUCCCUUCUCUUGCUGCUAUUGACCUCCAUAACCCAAGCCGAGCUUCACAGCAGCUGUCGGGGCCUUUGCCUGAUGCAUCCGAAUCCAGCUUCCCCAGAGUGGAGCACUAGCCGCACGGAGAAGGGAGAUCGCGCCUGCCUGCGAAAGGAAAAAAGGAGAAAAGUCCCUGGGAUAGGAAGCGAUCCUGCUAAUGUGAGGGGAAAAAAUCACCUUACUGAAGCUGUCUCAUCUGUGAAGCACAGAGGUGUAAGUGCACGGCUUUAGCAAGGUGGCCGAAGCGGUGGGAAGGACACACGGGACCGACCGGGUGCUGCCUCGGGCCGGUCUCUGCGGGCCAGAGGAGGAUCCCUGCCCCGGGUAACCGCGUCUGGCUCAGCGCUGCCGCGGAGCUCGCGCUGCCGUCGCCGCGCUGACCUGCUGGCCUGGGGCCAAGGUCUUCGCUGAGGUCGCUCGGUGGUUUUUGGUGUGUGACAAGGGCAGAAGCUGGUGUGCAGGAUUUGGAAGGAGGCCGGGCCUGCUUUUGUGAAACCGCUGCCCUCUUGCCAGGGAUUUCUUUUGAAAGGGUGAAGAGAGUACGGAAAGCUGCUGAAUUUGCUGUGUUUUGGAGUUUACCCGCUCUGUGUUGGAAAGCACCUUUGCCUUGACUAAAACGUCCAGGAAGAAGACGUUUGUGCAAGAAAUACGACACGUAAAGUUUUCCCAGCUGUUCUUUGCAACCCUCGCUAACAAACACUCAGCAGCACGUGGGACCUCGUGCCAGGUUCCUUUUCCCUCCGCGCUUCUGCGCCCCGGUCUGCGGGCGGUUUGUGCUGUGGGUGUCUGGCUGCCGUGAGCGUCGAAGGAAGAACGGCGGUGUGAGUCCUGAGCUGUGCUGCAGCUCCCGUACGGUCUAGUUAAUUGUCUUUCCACAAAGCGUGGCCUUUCCCUUUGAGGUGAUGAACGUUGCUGUAUUUAGAGCUUUGUGGCCAUGCUGUUUUGACACGUCCGUUAACAUUUGUAAAUAAAAAAGGACACACAAA